GGCCUGAACGCUGGCGGCGUGGCUAAGACAUGCAAGUCGAACGGGUGUAGCAAUACACCAGUGGCGGACGGGUGAGUAAUGUAUCGCUAACGUGCCCUGGAGCCAGGGAUAGCUGCCCGAAAGGGCAGGUAAUACCUGAUGACAUAACCUUAUCGCAUGGUGAGGUUCUCAAAGCAGCAAUGCACU
rnacentral:rRNA from 1 species